rnacentral:rRNA from 1 species
GACGAACGCUGGCGGCGUGCCUAAUACAUGCAAGUAGAACGCUGAAGCUUGGUGCUUGCACCGAGCGGAUGAGUUGCGAACGGGUGAGUAACGCGUAGGUAACCUGCCUGGUAGCGGGGGAUAACUAUUGGAAACGAUAGCUAAUACCGCAUAAGAGUAGAUGUUGCAUGACAUUUGCUUAAAAGGUGCAAUUGCAUCACUACCAGAUGGACCUGCGUUGUAUUAGCUAGUUGGUGAGGUAACGGCUCACCAAGGCAACGAUACAUAGCCGACCUGAGAGGGUGAACGGCCACACUGGGACUGAGACACGGCCCAGACUCCUACGGGAGGCAGCAGUAGGGAAUCUUCGGCAAUGGACGGAAGUCUGACCGAGCAACGCCGCGUGAGCGAAGAAGGUUUUCGGAUCGUAAAGCUCUGUUGUAAGAGAAGAACGAGUGUGAGAGUGGAAAGUUCACACUGUGACGGUAUCUUACCAGAAAGGGACGGCUAACUACGUG